CAGUAAAACCUUGUCUUGUUCUAGAUCUCUGUUGCCGACCUUGCUACCACACCUGGACUCCCCGUUGCCUGAUCCCCUGCCGGACUAACCUGAUCUCUGCCUACCUGGAAUUGACCUUUUCCUGGACCGACCACCUCUUUCUGCCUAGCCCCACUUCCUGAACCUGGUUGCUGUGCCUGCCGUCAACCUGCUCCCUUCCUGCCUCUACUCUUCAGCGCCAAAUAUACU